UCCGAGUUGUCCCCGGCAGUCCUCUUAGAGUCCCCGGCAUAACCCGCUGGCAACAUGGGGCAAGGGUUGCGCUCGUUGCGGGACUUAACCCAACAUCUCACGACACGAGCUGACGACAGCCAUGCACCACCUGCACAAACCCCACAAAGGGACACCGUAUCUCUACGGCUUUAGUUUGCAUGUCAAACCCAGGUAAGGUUCUUCGCGUCGCUUCGAAUUAAGCCACAUGCUCCACCGCUUGUGCGGGUCCCCGUCAAUUCCUUUGAGUUUUACCGUUGCCGGCGUACUCCCCAGGCGGAGUGCUUAAUGCGUUAGCUGCGGCACAGAGAGGGUUGAAGACCUCCCCACACCUAGCACUCAACGUUUACGGCUGGGACUAC
rnacentral:misc_RNA from 1 species